rnacentral:tmRNA from 1 species
GGGGGCGAACGGGUCUCGACGGUGAAAGUAUCGGAAAGGUCUGCGAGCCGAGGUUCUGUGUCCUCGUUAAUCACGCAGAAAAAAAACAAACGACGCUGAUUUAGCGUUAGCAGCUUAAAUGCUGCCGUCCGGUUGCAAUCCGCUCCUCAGGGGAGGGCAUCCAGGACGCCGAAAAACCUGAGGACUUCCCUUGUUCUUACCUGCGGAUAGAGGGAUGAUACAAGCAGGUUAUACCGGAUAAGAACCCUGCCAAUCGGGGUCGUAUCCGGCGAAAAAAUAAAAGAUUGGCUACGCUCGUAGGAUAGGCUUUUUUGAGCUUCAUCGGACGCGGGUUCGACUCCCGCCGCCUCCACUA